AGUGAACGCUGGCGGUAGGCCUAACACAUGCAAGUCGAACGGCAGCACAGUAAGAGCUUGCUCUUACGGGUGGCGAGUGGCGGACGGGUGAGGAAUACAUCGGAAUCUACUUUUUCGUGGGGGAUAACGUAGGGAAACUUACGCUAAUACCGCAUACGACCUACUGGUGAAAGCAGGGGAUCUUCGGACCUUGCGCGAUUGAAUGAGCCGAUGUCGGAUUAGCUAGUUGGCGGGGUAAAGGCCCACCAAGGCGACGAUCCGUAGCUGGUCUGAGAGGAUGAUCACCCCCACUGGAACUGAGACACGGUCCAGACUCCUACGGGAGGCAGCAGUGGGGAAUAUUGGACAAUGGGCGCAAGCCUGAUCCAGCCAUACCGCGUGGGUGAAGAAGGCCUUCGGGUUGUAAAGCCCUUUUGUUGGGAAAGAAAAGCAGCAGGUUAAUACCCCGCUGUUCUGGCGGUACCCAAAGAAUAAGCACCGGCUAACUUCGUG
rnacentral:rRNA from 1 species